GCAGUGGUGGGUCAGUGGUAGGAUUCUCACCUUCCAUGCAGAAGACCUGGGUUCGAUUCCCUGCCAAUGCA
rnacentral:tRNA from 1 species